rnacentral:rRNA from 1 species
UACGUAGGGUGCAAGCGUUAAUCGGAAUUACUGGGCGUAAAGCGUGCGCAGGCGGUUAUUUAAGUCAGGUGUGAAAGCCCUGGGCUUAACCUAGGAAUUGCGCUUGAGACUGGAUAGCUUGGAGUGCGGCAGAGGGAGGUGGAAUUCCACGUGUAGCAGUGAAAUGCGUAGAGAUGUGGAGGAACACCGAUGGCGAAGGCAGCCUCCUGGGCCAGCACUGACGCUCGAUGCACGAAAGCGUGGGGAGCAAACAGG